CCCUCUCUUGCCCUGUCCCGCCUAUAUACCGCCGUCCGUCAGCUUACCCUGUGAAGGCCCAAUAGUAAGCAAAAUCGGCAUUCGCCCAAAACGUCAGGUCGAGGUGUAGCGAAUGAGAGGGGAAGAAAUGGGCUACAUUCGCUAACAACAAGCGUAAAACGGAUAUUACAUUGAAAUAUGUAGUUGAAGGAGGAUUUAGUAGUAAGCGGAAAGUAGAGCGUUUCGCUGAAAUCGGCCCUAAAGCGUGUACACACCGCCCGUCACCCUCUCCGACCUUUCACACUACCCAUUUAUCUAAAAACCCAUCAACCCUUUAAGGAGAGGAAAGUCGUAACAUGGUAAGCGUAUCGGAAGCUGCGCUUGGAGUAAC
rnacentral:rRNA from 1 species